AAAUUUACCAGUCACUGUCACUCGACUUCGAUUAUAAUUUUAUAUGUUAUAAUAAAGUUUUGAAUUGAUGAGAAGUGAGAGUUGUUAUUCUGAAAUAAUGAAAACGACGACGGUUAUAAUAUUAUUAUUACAUCGAAAAGGUACGCACGUCGUAAAUUAAUACUUAGUUUGCUCAUAUUAAAUACGUGCGCUGUGAUUUUAAUAACUCUGUAAAAAGUUAUAGAAUUUAUCGUCGUU